rnacentral:rRNA from 1 species
UACGUAGGGUGCAAGCGUUAAUCGGAAUUACUGGGCGUAAAGCGUGCGCAGGCGGUUUUGUAAGUCUGAUGUGAAAUCCCCGGGCUCAACCUGGGAAUUGCGAUGGAGACUGCAAGGCUUGAAUCUGGCAGAGGGGGGUAGAAUUCCACGUGUAGCAGUGAAAUGCGUAGAGAUGUGGAGGAACACCGAUGGCGAAGGCAGCCCCCUGGGUCAAGAUUGACGCUAAUGCACGAAAGCGUGGGGAGCAAACAGG